rnacentral:rRNA from 1 species
CGUAGGGUGCGAGCGUUGCCCGGAUUUAUUGGGCGUAAAGGGCGCGUAGGCGGCUCGGCACGUCCGUUGUGAAAUCGCCCGGCUCAACUGGGCGGGGUCAGCGGAUACGGUCGAGCUUGAGCAAGCUAGGGGGCAAUGGAAUUCCCGGUGUAGUGGUGGAAUGCGUAGAUAUCGGGAGGAACACCAGUGGCGAAGGCGGUUGCCUGGGGCUUUGCUGACGCUGAUGCGCGAAAGCGUGGGGAGCGUUCCGGAUCAGAUACCCGGGUAGUCCACGCCGUAAACGAUGCGGACUAGGUGUCGGGGGUAUCGACCCCCUCGGCGCCGCAGCUAACGCAUUAAGUCCGCCGCCUGGGGACUACGGCCGCAAGGCUA